AUUGAACGCUGGCGGCAGGCCUAACACAUGCAAGUCGAGCGGCUGAAGGGAGCUUGCUCCUGGAUUCAGCGGCGGACGGGUGAGUAAUGCCUAGGAAUCUGCCUGGUUGUGUGGGAUUACGUCCGGAAACGGGCGCUCAUACCGCAUACGCCCUGACGACGAACGGGUGGGAUCAUGGGAUCUUACGCCCUUGGAUGAGCCUAGGUCGGAUUAGCUAGUUGGUGGGGUAAAGGCCUACCAAGGCGACGAUCCGUAACUGGUCUGAGAGGAUGAUCAGCCACACUGGAACUGAGACACGGUCCAGACUCCUACGGGAGGCAGCAGUGGGGAAUAUUGGACAAUGGGCGAAAGCCUGAUCCAGCCAUGCCGCGUGUGUGAAGAAGGUCUUCGGAUUGUAAAGCACUUUAAGUUGGGAGGAAGAGCAGUAAGUUAAUACCUUGCUGUUUUGACGGUACCAACAGAAUAAGCACCGGCUAACUUCGUG
rnacentral:rRNA from 1 species